rnacentral:tRNA from 2 species
GCGGGCGUGGCGGAAUUGGUAGACGCGCUAGAUUUAGGUUCUAGUGACAUUAGUCGUGUGGGUUCAAGUCCCUCCGCCCGCACCA